AACGAGGCCGACCUGCGGCUGAGUUACCUGCGGAGGGAUCAUUAACAAGCCCGUGAAGAUCAUAUUCCAAACGGAUGUUGAUCUCUCACCCGGCCGCCCUUGUUUACCUUGACCCUGUUGCUUUGGUGGGCCCGCCAGAAAGGGCCGCUUGGGAACCUAGUUUCCGGGUGAGUGCUCACCAAAGUUCCCAUUGAACUCUUUCUGAAGUUAUGCUGUCUGAGCACGCGAAAACAAAAUGUU
rnacentral:misc_RNA from 1 species